UCAAAGAUUAAUUAAACUGAAGAAAUAAGUGUUUGUUAGGUACCACAGAAUAUGUUCAUAAAUUAAUAAAGCAAAAAACAUUACUGAUAGUAUCCUAACAUUAACUUUCAUUUUAAAUUUUGACAGUUGAUUUUAAAAUCAAGACAAACUGAGUCAACUAAUGAAGAAAAAGAAAACCUCAUGAUGUGGGUUGAAUUGCCAGGGAUACCUAUGCUAAGACUUCAGGUCUUUAUACAGCUCAGUGGCCGGGUCUUUCUUGGCGAAAUAUUUGCAAAGUACACACGAAGCCCUCGCUUGCUCCGUAAAAAGUUCUCUUUCUCGGUACUUUUCAUUCGAAAAUUGUAAACUUGGUAGAAGACUUGCGAUUUUGGAUGCGAAAAGCUGGAUUUGGCGACUAGUGCGAGCUUUUUUAAGAAGCAGUAGAAGAACAGAAGUCCACAAUGCCCGGUAGAGGGUAGAAGAAGCAAUGCCAAUGGGAAACUCAAACACAAAUUUCAAUACAAGAAAGCCCUAACCAGGCCCUAACCUAGCGAAACGAUGUUGAAAACAACCCCAAAAUAACUGUUCAAUUCUCAAUGGACGAAGCAACUUACCAUGAUGCAGUAAAUCUAGAUUGAAGACUCGUUUCGUGCAAUUGGCACAACAGGAAACCUCCGAAAAUUUUACUACGAGGAAAAUUGUAAAAGAAGAAACGUGGAUCAGUAUUGCUUAUACAGCCAGGUCAUCAUCUUGGUAAAGUGAGUCUUAGCUUAGUAGAACUCUAGUAGAACUGAACAACCAGUGUCUUAAUGACUAUACCAUUAUGUUUUAGGCAUGCAUGGUACUCCACUUAAAAACAUUUUCUAAAUUUUUUGCAAAUGUGCAUGUGUGUUAAAGUGUAAAUAAAAAGUAUUAAAGAGCUAUACUAUAGAAGCAAUUCCUUUAAUGCGUAGUUGACUUGCUGUACUCAAACAGAAAUGUAAUUGAUCUCAUGUAUUCAAUAUUAUAAUAAUAUAAUAACGAUAUUUGUGCUGCAUUGUUUGUUGACUCGAUCUGUAUUAUAGGUAGAAAUCUUCGAUGGAACGGAAUAUUUCGCUCAAUUUAUUUAUCUUUUCAAUUGUGAAAUUAAACCGAGGCAGAUUUACUGGAUAGAUCACAAUUGAAAAGAAAAU
rnacentral:lncRNA from 1 species